rnacentral:lncRNA from 1 species
CUCUACCUCCGAAGGUGUCACCUGAACGACCCCCGCAGGCCCCGCAGGAGGAGGAGGAGGGGGCGCAGGGGGAGGCCCCAUGCCAGCAACCUCUACCUCAGCAGGUGUCACCUGAAUGACCUCGCCAGGCCCCACAGAGGGAGGAGGGGGAGGCGGGUCUGGCAGUGCAGGCCCCACCUGAGGAGGCUCUGUCUGAGCAGGUUUCUGCUGGACAGUACCCUUCUGAGCGGCCUUGCUGCUUUUUCUAGAGGAUUUAUGUUUCAGAGUUUUCUUCUUUGUGCUCUUCUUCAUGCAAAUACUUUGCUUCUUACUCUCGACUCUGCUGUCACCCUUUGGUGUUUCCUGGCCACUUCUGGAUUUGCUCUCUGCCUUCUUCUUCUUUUUUGGCGCAGGUUCCUCAUCCGGAACAGGCUCUUGUAUUUUUGCCUGCUCCGUUUCUGUUUUCUCGCUGGUGAUUUUGUCAUCAGGCAAGUCGGCCUCUCGCUUUUUGGUUUUCUUCAGUUUCACCUUUGAGACAUCCAUCGUUUUACUGGGGCAGGUGGGAUGCUUCGACUUGAAAUGAUACUGCAGAUUACACUUCUUGGAAGCUGCGUAGUCGCACACCGGGCAGUUGAACUGCCGUGGAUUGACAUGCAGCUCGACGUGCUUCUUGAAGUUACUUCUGUCUGCUGUCUUGUAGUCACAGUGCGGGCAGCUCAGCGGUUUAGGCCCGUUGUGCACCUGUCUCGCGUGGCGGGUUACUUCGUGUUGAUUAGAGGCCACGUAACUGCACUGGUCGCACUUAAACGGCUUCUCACCUGAGGGUAAACAAGAGAUGUUACCGGAGACAUACACCAGGAAGUGAAUUAAGACUUAUUCAAAUCACCUGACAAGGAAUUGGAUACACAGGAAAGCAAACAAAAACAAAAAACCACAAAAACUAUUUCUCGAAGACUUCAUCAUGCAACUCACAUUUACCAUAUUUAUUUGUAUAUCUUUUCUCUUCCCCUUGACACUGACUCUCAUACCAAAUGGAAGGAUAAUUUUCUCAGUUCAUCAUCAUCUCCUAAAACGGGUACCAAGCUAAGGCUUUCCAGCACUAUUAGAGAACACAGAUUUGUCAAUUACCAGCAAAGUGACCUGGGCUCUCAAGGCUAAUUUAGGGGCUUGGUCACCCAAAGAGAGAAGAUAAUUUCACAUUUUUUAUAUUUAGUUAAAACAAAUGUAUAAGGGAGUAGAAUAUAAAAUUCCCGUACAUUUAAGAUAAGUCUUGAGACUUCAAAAUAACUAUCUCACACUCUAAGCUACCGCUCCCAGAGUUUGAAAACAAUGCUUUGGCCUCUGGGAGUAAAAGGCUUUUCCUCUCAACUUAACCCUUUGAGCAUCAGAGCAGGAACUGGGUCAAGUUUCAAUCAGCAAACAUUCCCAGUGCCCAGGGGUGCUACUUCGCAGCAAACAUAGAGCCCGAGUCUUGAUUCUCUCCCUCCUUCUUCUAGAGAAUGGGCAAAGAUACCAGCUGAGUGAAAAGAGGCAACAAAUAGAUAUGGUCCAUAAAACAAGCAAACACAGUCACAGCCACAGGCACACACGAGACCAGAAGCACCCCGCACCCCCCGCCCCAUUUAAAGGCAGAGAUGAACUCAUUCUACCUGAAUACAUACCCACCUAGAUCACACUCUAGUAAAUAUUACCAAACGGUAUCCAUACCCCACUGGUCCAAGGGAAAGCGUAGCAGAAAAACGGAAAGUGACAUGUAUGAAAUUUCACUUCUCAAACAUUCUCAAAUUCACAUCAAAUCUUAUUUAAUUGUUUUCAUUUUUCAACAAAACUACGGAGGCAUUUAGUAAAACCACGUAGAUGGUGAGUUUUUUUACAUGAGGAAAAGAUGGCUGAUGACAGAAUACUCGAUCACAAGAACAAAACCAUAUCCAGGUCCUUCAGACAGUAGACGCAGCUCCUCCCCACACUGACCGAGAACACAUCAUAACCAGAAGCUUCUAACAUGUACAUUACACUAGCUGCACACGGUCCCAUCAUCGUGUCCUCCCCAUUGAGGGAGGUCAACAGAGACAACGUUUCCUGAACAUAUACAGACACAGCAGGCAGGGAAGAUAUGCAGCAUAAUGGUUAAGAACUUGUUCUACAGUGUGGCUAUCUGUGGGUCAAGCAGGGGUUCUGCAGCUUUACUGUGCGGUCGUCAGCAAGGCACUGGAGACUCAAAGGCUC